rnacentral:rRNA from 1 species
GCGUUAAGUUGCAGGGUAUAGACCCGAAACCCGGUGAUCUAGCCAUGGGCAGGUUGAAGGUUGGGUAACACUAACUGGAGGACCGAACCGACUAAUGUUGAAAAAUUAGCGGAUGACCUGUGGCUGGGGGUGAAAGGCCAAUCAAACCGGGAGAUAGCUGGUUCUCCCCGAAAGCUAUUUAGGUAGCGCCUCGUGAAUUCAUCUCCGGGGGUAGAGCACUGUUUCGGCUAGGGGGCCAUCCCGGCUUACCAACCCGAUGCAAACUGCGAAUACCGGAGAAUGUUAUCACGGGAGACACACGGCGGGUGCUAACGUCCGUCGUGAAGAGGGAAACAACCCAGACCGCCAGCUAAGGUCCCAAAGUCAUGGUUAAGUGGGAAACGAUGUGGGAAGGCCCAGACAGCCAGGAUGUUGGCUUAGAAGCAGCCAUCAUUUAAAGAAAGCGUAAUAGCUCACUGGUCGAGUCGGCCUGCGCGGAAGAUGUAACGGGGCUAAACCAUGCACCGAAGCUGCGGCAGCGACGCUGAUGCGUUGUUGGGUAGGGGAGCGUUCUGUAAGCCUGCGAAGGUGGCCUGUGAGGGUUGCUGGAGGUAUCAGAAGUGCGAAUGCUGACAUAAGUAACGAUAAAGCGGGUGAAAAGCCCGCUCGCCGGAAGACCAAGGGUUCCUGUCCAACGUUAAUCGGGGCAGGGUGAGUCGACCCCUAAGGCGAGGCCGAAAGGCGUAGUCGAUGGGAAACGGGUUAAUAUUCCCGUACUUGGUGUUACUGCGAAGGGGGGACGGAGAAGGCUAUGUUGGCCGGGCGACGGUUGUCCCGGUUUAAGCGUGUAGGUGUGUGUUCCAGGUAAAUCCGGUUCACUUUAACACUGAGGCGUGAUGACGAGGCACUACGGUGCUGAAGCAACAAAUGCCCUGCUUCCAGGAAAAGCCUCUAAGCAUCAGGUAACAUCAAAUCGUACCCCAAACCGACACAGGUGGUCAGGUAGAGAAUACCAAGGCGCUUGAGAGAACUCGGGUGAAGGAACUAGGCAAAAUGGUGCCGUAACUUCGGGAGAAGGCACGCUGACACGUAGGUGAAGUGAUUUACUCAUGGAGCUGAAGUCAGUCGAAGAUACCAGCUGGCUGCAACUGUUUAUUAAAAACACAGCACUGUGCAAACACGAAAGUGGACGUAUACGGUGUGACGCCUGCCCGGUGCCGGAAGGUUAAUUGAUGGGGUCAGCGCAAGCGAAGCUCCUGAUCGAAGCCCCGGUAAACGGCGGCCGUAACUAUAACGGUCCUAAGGUAGCGAAAUUCCUUGUCGGGUAAGUUCCGACCUGCACGAAUGGCGUAAUGAUGGCCAGGCUGUCUCCACCCGAGACUCAGUGAAAUUGAACUCGCUGUGAAGAUGCAGUGUACCCGCGGCAAGACGGAAAGACCCCGUGAACCUUUACUAUAGCUUGACACUGAACAUUGAGCCUUGAUGUGUAGGAUAGGUGGGAGGCUUUGAAGUGUGGACGCCAGUCUGCAUGGAGCCGGCCUUGAAAUACCACCCUUUAAUGUUUGAUGUUCUAACGUGGACCCGUGAUCCGGGUUGCGGACAGUGUCUGGUGGGUAGUUUGACUGGGGCGGUCUCCUCCUAAAGAGUAACGGAGGAGCACGAAGGUUGGCUAAUCCUGGUCGGACAUCAGGAGGUUAGUGCAAUGGCAUAAGCCAGCUUGACUGCGAGCGUGACGGCGCGAGCAGGUGCGAAAGCAGGUCAUAGUGAUCCGGUGGUUCUGAAUGGAAGGGCCAUCGCUCAACGGAUAAAAGGUACUCCGGGGAUAACAGGCUGAUACCGCCCAAGAGUUCAUAUCGACGGCGGUGUUUGGCACCUCGAUGUCGGCUCAUCACAUCCUGGGGCUGAAGUAGGUCCCAAGGGUAUGGCUGUUCGCCAUUUAAAGUGGUACGCGAGCUGGGUUUAGAACGUCGUGAGACAGUUCGGUCCCUAUCUGCCGUGGGCGCUGGAGAACUGAGGGGGGCUGCUCCUAGUACGAGAGGACCGGAGUGGACGCAUCACUGGUGUUCGGGUUGUCAUGCCAAUGGCACUGCCCGGUAGCUAAAUGCGGAAGAGAUAAGUGCUGAAAGCAUCUAAGCACGAAACUUGCCCCGAGAUGAGUUCU